rnacentral:snRNA from 1 species
GCGCUCACUUCAGCCGCACAGAUGGUAAAAUUAAAAGGUUAGCAUGGCCUCCGUGCAAGGAUGCCAUGCAAAUUCAUCAAGGAUUUCACAUUUUG